GUUCUGGUGCCAGCAGCCGCGGUAAUUCCAGCUCCAGUAGCGUAUAUUAAAGUUGCUGCAGUUAAAAAGCUCGUAGUUGAAUUUCUGUUUGUAAGAGUCGAAGCUUUACAGCUAAGAUUUCUUCGAACAUCUGUUUGCAAGCAUACGUUCGGCCUUCACUGGUUGGCUAUGUAAGCAAGCGCUUUACCUUGAGAAAAUUAGAGUGUUCCAGGCAGGCUUCAGCCGGAAUACAUUAGCAUGGAAUAAUGGAAUAGGACUGGGGACUAUUUAUUGGUUUGAGGCUCCAGUAAUGAUUAAUAGGAACAGUCGGGGGCAUUGGUACUUAACAGUCAGAGGUGAAAUUCUUGAAUUUGUUAAAGACUAACUAAUGCGAAAGCAUUUGCCAAGCAUGUUUUCAUUAAUCAAGAACGAAAGUUAGGGGAUCAAAGACGAUUAGAUACCGUCCUAGUCUUAACUGUAAACGAUUCCAUCUUAGAAUUGGGUGAAUAUUUGAUGAUUCAUCCAGCGCUAUAAGAGAAAUCAAAGUCUUUGGGUUCUUGGUGGAGUACGAUCGCAAGAUUGAAACUUAUAGGAAUUGACGGUUUUGCACACCAUGGAGUGGAGCCUGUGGCUUAAUUUGACUCAACACUGGGAAACUCAUCAGGACAACAAAGUUUUAGGAUUGACAGAUUGAUAGCUCUUUCUUGAUUGACUUAAUGGUGGUGCAUGGCCGUUCUUAGUUGGUGGAGUGAUUUGUCUGGUUAAUUCCGUUAACGAACGAGACCUUAACCUACUAACUAGUACGACGUGACGAACGUUAGUUACUUCUUAGAGGGACAAUGUGUAUUUUUAACACAAGGAAGUUUAAGGCAAUAACAGGUCUGUGAUGCCCUAAGAUGUCCUGAGCCGCACACGCGCUACAAUGACACUUUCAAUAAGUUUUUGCUGGUCCGACAGGAUUUCGGCUAAUCUUUUUAGUAAGUGUCGUGCUAGGGAUAGAUCUUUGCAAUUGUGGAUCUUGAACGAGGAAUUCCUAGUAAGCACAAGUCAUCAGCUUGUGCUGAUUACGUCCCUGCAAAAUGUACACAUCGCCCGUCGCUUGCUCCGAUUGAGUAAUCUGGUGAGCCUUCUUGACUGAGUAAGUAAUUACGAAGAAAAUUAAGCAAACCAUAUUACUUAGAGGAUGAAGAAGUCGUAACAAAGUUUCCGUAGGUGAACCUGCGGAAG
rnacentral:rRNA from 1 species